rnacentral:rRNA from 1 species
UACGUAGGCAGCAAGCGUUGUUCGGAGUUACUGGGCGUAAAGGGUGCGUAGGCGGCUUUUUAAGUCUGGUGUGAAAUCUCCCGGCUCAACUGGGAGGGUGCGCCGGAUACUGAGGGGCUAGAGUGUGGGAGAGGAAAGUGGAAUUCCUGGUGUAGCGGUGAAAUGCGUAGAUAUCAGGAGGAACACCGGUGGUGUAAACGGCUUUCUGGACAGUGACUGACGCUGAGACGCGAAAGCGUGGGGAGCAAACAGG